rnacentral:lncRNA from 1 species
GGAUAAGGUUAAAAUAGAUUGAACCUUUUUGUCUACUUUAACUUUUAUCCUUGCCUGAAAGGGAACACAGGUUCUAUGGCCAAAAAAGAUUAAAUUAUGGGUCACAUGGUUCCCACCAAGCACACUCAAAACAACAAGGAUAUUAUCUAAUUGAGCAAAAUUAUUAGAGAUAGAAAUCCUAUCCUUGCCCAACAUUUUGUAAAAGGUGACCAUUCAACCCGUAAUGAAAGGAGUACUUUUCAAACGUGGAGAAUCGUCUUUGGAGGACUGAUUAUUCGGGAAAGUCUCUGUUUGGAAGACCUUCCAAACAUCAUUCUCUCUGAUUAUUUUCAACUUUGGCUCGAACUUACUAGGAUCUAUAGUGUGAUUAUUUGGAGUUUCUGGUGCUGAUUGCAACACAGAAUACUCUUCAGAAGUGGGCUUCAUUAUCCCUGCUUUUCAUCUAACUGUUUUGCAAGCCAAAAUUUGUCAAUAAGGAAAUUGUGUUGUACCUAGAACUCUACUUCUAAUCUCUUCAAAUCGAAGUUAAGUUUACGUAGGAAUUCUAAUACCUGACUUCCUUAACAUUCCAGCAAGUUUUACUGCAUCCCAGGAAAUGGUCAAUGAAUGCUUGCUUGGCUUAACUUCUAUGUACUUAUAAACAGUGAUUCCUAAAGAAUAUGUGGUUAAAGAAUAGAUAAAAGUUGUGGGUCAUGAAGAAUGUAUGGUUAAAAAUGAUGUUUAACCAACUUAUAAGGACUUAAAUAGCACUACUAAACAAGCGCUUAAUUUCUAGUAGCAUUAACUUAAUGAAAGCAAGAAAUGUAUUUAGAGUUUUCAAUUUCCUAGGAGGCGUACGAAGGAUAUAAAUUUUAUGGCUCCUUGGUAAUACUGCGCAAAAAACCUUAUUUCCCCUAAACUUUAGGAAUAGUCGCACAGUUUGUGACUACUCUAGAAAUUCAAACCAUAUAACUUCUGCGGGGGCUCUGAAUCGCGAAUUCCCAUAAUGAGUUACAAAUUUCCCUUGUGGGCAGCAGUUUCAAUGCAAGCCUUUUCAAGUCUGUACUAUGAAACACAGACAGACAGAGUGCAAUUAUGUUGACAACUCUCGAAGGACAAAAUUGUCAAUGAAGGCCUAGGAGAAAGAUAGACUCUAGGAAAAAUUCAAAAUUUAUUUACUACUCUAAUGCCUUGAAAGAAGAAAAUUUUCUUUACUUAAUCAUUUGAAAAAUAUCGGCUCUUUCUACUCAAACUAUCCCAUGUUAACUAAAAAACCUAGAUAAAGUCAUAUAAUUCUCUGAUUAAAUCUUGAAACGCUCAUAAGUCAUCAAUAAAUUCACUACAAAUCAUUUAUUUGUGAGCUUAAUUUUCGGUAUUAAGUUGUCGUGAUAUUUGUCCUUACAGAUCAGUGAUCCUAUGCGUAUUGUUAUGUGUGCAGGUUUUGGCAUGUAUAUUUGGAUAGAAUGAAAUAUGUGGCAUUUUAACUGGA